CGGCGAUGAUUAAUCUGAGUAUCUAGUGGGCCAUUUUUGGUAAGCAGAACUGGCGCUGUGGGAUGAACCAAACGUCGAGUUAAGGGGCCUAAAUGAAUGCUCAUUCAGAUCCCAUCGAAAGGCGUUGGUUGCUAUAGACAGCAGGACGGUGGCCAUGGAAGUCGGAAUCCGCUAAGGAGUGUGUAACAACUCACCUGCCGAAGCAACUAGCCCUUAAAAUGGUAUGGCGCUUAAGCAUUCUCCCGAUACUCGACCGCCGGGGCACUAGCGGCCACGUCCCAGAGGCGAGGUCUCGAAGCCCCGGUGAGUAAGAGGGUCGCAGUGGUGAGCGCUGAAGGGAUCCGGCGUGAGCCGGCCUGGAGCCGCCACUGGUGCAGAUCUUGGUGGUAGUAGCAAAUACUCGAGAGAGACUCCCUUGAAGACCGAUGUGGAGAAGGGUUCCAUGUGAACAUCAGUUGGACAUGGGUUAGUCGCUCCUAAGCCCAAGGCUAAGGCCUGAUCCCAUGCUAGCGGC
rnacentral:rRNA from 1 species